AGUUUGAUCAUGGCUCAGGAUGAACGCUAGCGGGAGGCCUAACACAUGCAAGCUGAGCGGUAUUUGUCUUUCGGGACAGAGAGAGCGGCGUACGGGUGCGUAACACGUGUGCAACCUGCCUUUAUCAGGAGGAUAGCCUUUUCGAAAGGAAAGAUUAAUACUCCAUAAUAUAUUAAUUGGCAUCAAUUGAUAUUGAAAACUCCGGUGGAUAAAGAUGGGCACGCGCAAGAUUAGAUAGUUGGUGAGGUAACGGCUCACCAAGUCGAUGAUCUUUAGGGGCCUGAGAGGGUGAUCCCCCACACUGGUACUGAGACACGGACCAGACUCCUACGGGAGGCAGCAGUGAGGAAUAUUGGACAAUGGGCUAGCGCCUGAUCCAGCCAUCCCGCGUGAAGGAUUAAGGACCUAUGGUUUGUAAACUUCUUUUGUACAGGGAUAAACCUACCCUCGUGAGGGUAGCUGAAGGUACUGUACGAAUAAGCACCGGCUAACUCCGUG
rnacentral:rRNA from 1 species